UAGGAGACCCCUGUUCCCCUCACAGAGCUACAAUGCUCGGAAUGGCUUGGUGGUCCAUCGCUCUUCCCAGGAAACUCUGUCAAUGGUAGCUCUUUGAGGGGAAUAAGGGUGUCCUA